GAUGGAGUGCAUCUGCCCCAAGUGGAGGCAGCAGCAGCAGCAGGAGGGAGGUGUCGGGGCAGUGGGGCCGCAGGGCCAGUCCUCAGGAAAGAAAACUGGCUCAGAGAGGCUGAGUAACCUGCUCAAGAUGACACAGCUUGUGGGUGGCUGAGUUGGCCUUCCAACCCAGAUUCCUGUCAUGUUCCUCAAGCCGACAGGUUCAGCUUGGUUGUGACCUCUGCUAGAAGCCCUCCCUGGCCUCCCUGUGCACUGAGCUGGUGGUUCCUCCUUUGCGCCCCAGGUACAUGCUCAGAUCUGUGUACCCUACACUUUGUCCUCCAGCUUCGUGUUUGGAUGUUCACAACUCCCAUGAGAAGGGCCCCCGAGAGCUGGCACAGUGCAUGUGUUUCCUCUCCAGACUUCUACAAACCUGGCACAUAAUUGUUUGCUGAAAGAUGGCAUGUUCCUAAAACAGAGGAAGUAGAACCGAAUAAAGCGAAAUCCAACUUCCCA
rnacentral:lncRNA from 1 species